AAUAAUAAUUAAUUAGGAAUUAGAUGAAUAAUAGGAAAGCCAAAAGGCAAAACCCAAACAGAGGAGGAAAAAUAGAAUAGAGUACGGCUGAGGCAGACUUGGGAAUUAUCCAAGUCAAAAUAGGAAAUUGCUUUGUGCAGAGAUGGGUGCGGCUGAGACUUUGAAAAUAAGGAUUUCCAAAUCAAAAUAGGGAAACUCAUAUUGGGCUGUUUUGGGGCAGAGAAUAUAGGGAAAAGCCGCAGUUGUAGUUGGAGAAAAAUUCUUCCAACUUGAAGAAGGAAACCAGCCUUGUGACAGCUCAACAAAUGACGACAACUCCUCCAAUUUCAGCAAAUGAUUGAUGGCAGCUUCUUCCCAAAAGUGAACAGCAAAUGCAAAGCCGCAAAAUGCUUUCUAAUAUUUCCAGCGACACUUGUCUAGGCCAGGCUUGUGUGCUUCAUCAAAGUAAUCAAGGGAUUCUUCUUCAAAGCCUAUUGCAAUACAAAGGUACUGACCCUUUUUUCUCAAUAAUUGUUCACAAGAUGCACAGCCUUGCUAAACCUCAGCAAAUGCAGAUGGGCUUUGACACCAAAGCUCGACAGAUGCACAAGGCAUAACCUAGCACCUCCAUCAGCUUCAUACCUUUCAGCUCCGAAAAAUGUUGGUAAGUUUCUCCAACUCUAUCUUUCUGGCGCUGGUCACUGAGACCAGUUGUGGGUAUAAAUUGACACUUGCACAGAUACACUCCAGGUGUUUGAUGAAAUGACAUAGUGAAUUCUUGAUACUUUGUUGAGUUGAUAAUUCCACCCAUUUGGAUCCCUUAAGCUUCCAAAAUUAUAGUUUUUCCUCCAAAGCCUUGCUAAGUAUGAUUUCCUACAAAAUCUUCACCAAUCACAUUAAACUAACCAAUUUCACACGAAAACUAUGCAAAUAGAGAUAGAUUAUAUAUGCAAAAUAUGAAUCUAUCACCAACCCUCAAUAGGCUUUCUAGGCUUCAAAGUUUACAAUUGACUAAUUGCGCGAACCUUCGGGCGAUCCCAGAUUUACCAACUAAUCUGGAAAUCCUUCAAGCGGAUAUGUGCAUUGCAUUGGAAGAAAUGCCAAAAUUUUCAAGUAUGUUGUGCAUGAGGAAUUGCACCUUAAUCACUCCCCAAAACUUACUGAGAUUCCAGGCUUGGAUAAGUCGUUGAGCUCCAUGACAAGAAUUCAUAUGGAAUGGUGCAUCAAUCUCACUGCUGCUUUUAAGGAAGCAAUCAUGCAGGGAUGGAGUGCGUGCCGAAAUGGUUGCCUUUUUCUUCCUACAAAUGAUUUUCCUUCAUGGUUGAGGAGUGUCGACACGAAGGGUGAAAUACUCGGUUGUGCCCCCAAAGUAUUCGGUUUUGAAUGAAAAGUUUUGACUAUUUGCAUCUAUACUUAAAAUGACUUCAACUAUUGUGAUUUUCGCAUUUGUGCUAUCAAUUGUACCCGAUCCAUGGAACUUUUUACCCGUGCAGUGAAAAUAAGCAUGUGCGCAGAUCGGUUUGAUUCGGGACACAAAUAUUUUUUAAUGGAGUGAUUGGACAAUA